CACUGAUGCACUAUACUCUGUGACUAUACCCAGUUUGGGCUGACCACGGAAGUAAAACAGAUCGAACCUCUUUAUCCUUGAAUAGAAGGCUGCCUGGGAAUAGGAGGUGCUACAGGCA
ensembl:rRNA predicted gene, 23473